rnacentral:rRNA from 1 species
GUGCCAGCAGCCGCGGUAAUACGUAGGGUGCGAGCGUUGUCCGGAAUUACUGGGCGUAAAGAGCUCGUAGGUGGUUUGUCGCGUCGUCUGUGAAAUUCCGGGGCUUAACUCCGGGCGUGCAGGCGAUACGGGCUGACUUGAGUGCUGUAGGGGAGACUGGAAUUCCUGGUGUAGCGGUGAAAUGCGCAGAUAUCAGGAGGAACACCGAUGGCGAAGGCAGGUCUCUGGGCAGUAACUGACGCUGAGGAGCGAAAGCAUGGGUAGCGAACAGGAUUAGAUACCCUGGUAGUCCAUGCCGUAAACGGUGGGCGCUAGGUGUGAGUCCCUUCCACGGGGUUCGUGCCGUAGCUAACGCAUUAAGCGCCCCGCCUGGGGAGUACGGCCGCAAGGCUAAAACUCAAAGGAAUUGACGGGGGCCCGCACAAGCGGCGGAGCAUGUGGAUUAAUUCGAUGCAACGCGAAGAACCUUACCUGGGCUUGACAUACACCGGAUUGGGCUAGAGAUAGUCUUUCCCUUUGUGGCUGGUGUACAGGUGGUGCAUGGUUGUCGUCAGCUCGUGUCGUGAGAUGUUGGGUUAAGUCCCGCAACGAGCGCAACCCUUGUCUUAUGUUGCCAGCAUUUGGUUGGGGACUCAUGAGAGACUGCCGGGGUCAACUCGGAGGAAGGUGGGGAUGACGUCAAAUCAUCAUGCCCCUUAUGUCCAGGGCUUCACACAUGCUACAAUGGUCGGUACAACGCGCAGCGACACUGUGAGGUGGAGCGAAUCGCUGAAAGCCGGCCUUAGUUCGGAUUGGGGUCUGCAACUCGACCCCAUGAAGUCGGAGUCGCUAGUAAUCGCAGAUCAGCAAUGCUGCGGUGAAUACGUUCCCGGGCCUUGUACACACCGCCCGUCACGUCAUGAAAGUUGGUAACACCCGAAGCCGGUGGCCCAAACUUGUUAGGGAGCCGUCGAAGGUGGGAUCGGCGAUUGGGACGAAGUCGUAACAAGGUA